rnacentral:lncRNA from 1 species
CAACAUUGUAUCACCUGAGCUUACAUGCCCAUUGCCUAGUCAUAAAAAGAGCAAAUUAUUAAAAUAUUUGAAGAGACUUAUUGUCUUGAGGGUCCCUGCAUGUUUCUGAAUGUUGGUUGCACCACAUGACUUUACUUUAUUAUACAAUAUUUUCCCGAAUGUUUGUAAUAUUUUAACAAGUCUUGCCUGCAUAUUAUUUUCCAUAAGAUCCAUGAAGAUAGAACAGUUCACAAAUGUCUAAAUGUCUAAGUAGACUGUUUCUCUGCUGUUUCUCUUCUUUCUUCUUUAAAUCAUAAAACCAUCUGUAUGUUGUAUAAUAAACAAACACAUUCAAAUAAUAGCGUGCACAGAAAAACUGAUCUACAAUAUUUUUAUACACUUGAAUAUGGCCACUGCAACUGUACCUUGCCCUAAUUAAAUUCUACUGCAAACUCUCCUAUAGCUGCCUUAUUAAUUUAUGGUGCUGUUAUGCAGGCUGUGUGGUGCUACUAAUGAAGGCUUGUAUGCAGAUGAGGGGCUGAGGUCGUCUCUAGAGCAACGCUGCUCUGUCUGACCUGGUGACCUCUACCAUGGCUUUCUGACUGCUACAGUCUCCAUAUCUCUUUUAGCAGUGGGGCAGUACCGCACCCUUCAUCUGCGGCUCAUAUCUAUGCAAAGCCGGGGUCCUGCCAAUCAGUUGCCCCGGUGACACAGGGCUCCACCUCUCCAAUUAGACCUGACAGGGCAGGAUUAGGUGCUGGGCGGGCGCGCGGCGACCUGCUGGCGUGUCAAUCACGCGCAAGGCAUCCGCUCGGCUGUUUACUGUCAGAUCCCAUCUAUGUCUGUCAGGCUGAGAGAGAGACGCCAGGGGAAGUGGAGGGAGAGAGAGAUCUGAUCAGAAUUAACUAUGCUUCCCCCUGCAGACUGUUCUUUUAAUUCAUAAAAGGGGGUGAGGAGAGCGAGAGGGAGGAGAGCGUUUAAAUCCUAGAGUUGCCCGCCUUCUGUAUGUUAAGAGCUACGCCGGGUUGUUCUGUAUGAUUGUGCAGUCUGUUCUGUUUCGUUUUGACAUUCAACACACAAGAAACACACAGUUUUGAUGUGAUGCAAGCACUGUGGCCAAAAUAUUAAUUAUAUGUGUAGAAAAAAGUUUUUGACAGAAGAAUGUGCAAAAUCAAUGUUGUCUUCUGGUCUUUAAUUGUUUGAUAAUAAAAUAUAGUUUUUAUACAGUAAUGAGAUGAUUAAUGGGAACAUUUUCAUUAUGCAAAAAUGCAGGUUA